GACCGCGUAGCUCAGUUGGCAGAGCAUUGGGCUAGUACUCCAAAGGUCGUAGGUUCGAUUCCCACCGUGGCCA